rfam:Felis catus isolate Cinnamon breed Abyssinian chromosome B1, whole genome shotgun sequence.
ACCUGGGUGGCUCAGUCAGUUGAGCAUCUGACUUCGGCUCAGGUCAUGAUCUCACGGUUCAUGGGUUCGAGCCCCACGUUGGGUU